GCAUCAUGAUUUACAUUUGAGUGAGUGGCGAACUGGUGAGUAACACGUGGGAAACCUGCCCAGAAGCGGGGGAUAACACCUGGAAACAGAUGCUAAUACCGCAUAACAACUUGGACCGCAUGGUCCGAGUUUGAAAGAUGGCUUCGGCUAUCACUUUUGGAUGGUCCCGCGGCGUAUUAGCUAGAUGGUGGGGUAACGGCUCACCAUGGCAAUGAUACGUAGCCGACCUGAGAGGGUAAUCGGCCACAUUGGGACUGAGACACGGCCCAAACUCCUACGGGAGGCGCAGUAGG
rnacentral:rRNA from 1 species